UUCGAACUCCCAAAAACAAAUCUUAAUAGGGCUUUAAGUAGCCAUCAAAUUGGUCCUUCGAGCCGAAUUCAAGCAAAGUGCGAACCAGAUACAACAGGAUUCGGCGUUAAGGCAAGGAAUCCAAGUGCGUGCGAGUCGUUUCACGCUAAAUUUAAUGAUAGUGUCUUACGGAUGCGACCAAAGUUACGGCACUCGCUUUUGCAGACCACCUCGUUUUGUGCACGACCACCGCUAGAGGACUCCAAACCAAUCUGGAUGUUCCCAAAGUAGAGCUUCGCCUAGCCGCUUUCUUGCUGAACCCCAACAAGUGUCAGGCCUUGUCCUUCCGGUUGCUUCCGGACGGGACCACAAAGUGAAGCUCGUGACAAAACCCACCUCUAAGGUGGGCCAAAACACGAUUCACCAAGUGGAUGCAUCCAGUAUUUGGAAAUAUCUGAGAAUCCAGUUUAGGGGUAGUGGUACGUGCGGAUGCGGUUCAGAGAGUGUAGCUGCUGGGUUGAAGCGGAUUACUUGUGCUCCGCUAAAACCUCAACCUCAG